rnacentral:rRNA from 1 species
UACGGAGGGUGCGAGCGUUGUCCGGAAUCAUUGGGCGUAAAGGGCGCGUAGGUGGCGGGACAAGCGUGCGGUGAAAGCCCGGGGCUCAACCCCGGGAGGCGGGUGGAUACUGUCAAGCUCGAGUCCGGAAGAGGCGAGUGGAAUUCCCGGUGUAGCGGUGAAAUGCGCAGAUAUCGGGAGGAACACCAAUGGCGAAGGCAGCUCGCUGGGACGUGACUGACGCUGAGACGCGAAAGCGUGGGGAGCAAACAGG